AGCAUGUGGUUUAAUUCGAAGCAACGCGAAGAACCUUUACCAGGUCUUGACAUCCCGAUGCUAUUUCUAGAGAUAGAAAGUUACUUCGGUACAUCGGUGACAGGUGGUGCAUGGUUGUCGUCAGCUCGUGUCGUGAGAUGUUGGGUUAAGUCCCGCAACGAGCGCAACCCCUAUUGUUAGUUGCCAUCAUUCAGUUGGGCACUCUAGCGAGACUGCCGGUAAUAAACCGGAGGAAGGUGGGGAUGACGUCAAAUCAUCAUGCCCCUUAUGACCUGGGCUACACACGUGCUACAAUGGUUGGUACAACGAGUUGCGAGUCGGUGACGGCGAGCUAAUCUCUUAAAGCCAAUCUCAGUUCGGAUUGUAGGCUGCAACUCGCCUACAUGAAGUCGGAAUCGCUAGUAAUCGCGGAUCAGCACGCCGCGGUCGAAUACGUUCCCGGGCCUU
rnacentral:rRNA from 1 species